rnacentral:rRNA from 1 species
CCUACGGGAGGCUGCAGUGAGGAAUAUUGGUCAAUGGACGAGAGUCUGAACCAGCCAAGUAGCGUGAAGGAUGACUGCCCUAUGGGUUGUAAACUUCUUUUAUAAAGGAAUAAAACGAGGCACGUGUGCCUUUUUGCAUGUACUUUAUGAAUAAGGAUCGGCUAACUCCGUGCCAGCAGCCGCGGUAAUACGGAGGAUCCGAGCGUUAUCCGGAUUUAUUUGGUUUAAAGGGAGCGUAGAUGGGUUGUUAAGUCAGUUGUGAAAGUUUGCGGCUCAACCGUAAAAUUGCAAUUGAUACUGGCAGUCUUGAGUACAGUUGAGGUGAGCGGAAUUCGUGGUGUAGCGGUGAAAUGCUUAGAUAUCACGAAGAACCCCGAUUGCGAAGGGAGCUUACUAAACUGUGACUGACAUUGAUGCUCGAAAGUGUGGGUAUCAAACAGGAUUAGAUACCCCUGUAGUC